AGUGAACGCUGGCGGUAGGCCUAACACAUGCAAGUCGAACGGCAGCACAGUAAGAGCUUGCUCUUACGGGUGGCGAGUGGCGGACGGGUGAGGAAUACAUCGGAAUCUACUUUUUCGUGGGGGAUAACGUAGGGAAACUUACGCUAAUACCGCAUACGACCUACGGGUGAAAGCAGGGGAUCUUCGGACCUUGCGCGAUUGAAUGAGCCGAUGUCGGAUUAGCUAGUUGGCGGGGUAAAGGCCCACCAAGGCGACGAUCCGUAGCUGGUCUGAGAGGAUGAUCAGCCACACUGGAACUGAGACACGGUCCAGACUCCUACGGGAGGCAGCAGUGGGGAAUAUUGGACAAUGGGCGCAAGCCUGAUCCAGCCAUACCGCGUGAGUGAAGAAGGCCUUCGGGUUGUAAAGCCCUUUUGUUGGGAAAGAAAAGCAGCAGGUUAAUACCCCGCUGUUCUGACGGUACCCAAAGAAUAAGCACGGGCUAACUUCGUG
rnacentral:rRNA from 1 species